UACGAACGGUCCAAAGCGUUAUUCGGAAUCACUGGGCUUAAAGCGUCCGUAGGCGGCUCGGAAAGUAGGGUGUGAAAUCCCGAGGCUCAACCCCGGGCCUGCAGCCGAUACGGGCAGACUAGAGUUCGGCAGGGGAGACGUGGAAUUCCUGGUGGUAGCGGUGGAAAUGCGCAGAUAUCAGGAGGAACACCGGUGGCGAAGGCGGGUCUCUGGGCCGAUGACUGACGCUGAGGAGCGAAAGCGUGGGGAGCGAACAGG
rnacentral:rRNA from 1 species